CCUCCGGGAGGCAGCAGUGAGGAAUAUUGGUCCAUGGGCGCGAGCCUGAACCAGCCAAGUAGCGUGAAGGAUGACUGCCCUACGGGUUGUAAACUUCUUUUAUAAAGGCAUCAAGUGAGGCACGUGUGCCUUUUUGUAUGUACUUUAUGAAUAAGGAUCGGCUAACUCCGUGCCAGCAGCCGCGGUAAUACGGAGGAUCCGAGCGUUAUCCGGAUUUCUUGGGUUUAAAGGGAGCGUAGAUGGGUUGUUAAGUCAGUUGUGAAAGUUUGCGGCUCAACCGGAAAAUUGCAAUUGAUACUGGCAGCCUUGAGUACAGUUGAGGUAGGCGGAAUUCGUGGUGUAGCGGUGAAAUGCUUAGAUAUCACGAAGAACUCCGAUUGCGAAGGCAGCUUACUAAACUGCCACUGACAUUGAUGCUCGAAAGUGUGGGUAUCAAACAGGAUUAGAUACCCUAGUAGUC
rnacentral:rRNA from 1 species